rnacentral:tRNA from 1 species
GUCAGGAUGGCCGAGCGGUCUAAGGCGCCAGACUCAAGGUUCACAACCUUCUCAGCUCAGCUGAGUUUGCGAGGCUUCUGGUCCUCUCUGAGGGCGUGGGUUCGAAUCCCACUUCUGACA